rnacentral:rRNA from 1 species
UAGGGAAUCUUCCACAAUGGACGCAAGUCUGAUGGAGCAACGCCGCGUGAGUGAAGAAGGUUUUCGGACCGUAAAGCUCUGUUGUUGGUGAAGAAGGAUAGAGGUAGUAACUGGCCUUUAUUUGACGGUAAUCAACCAGAAAGUCACGGCUAACUACGUGCCAGCAGCCGCGGUAAUACGUAGGUGGCAAGCGUUGUCCGGAUUUAUUGGGCGUAAAGCGAGCGCAGGCGGAAGAAUAAGUCUGAUGUGAAAGCCCUCGGCUUAACCGAGGAAUUGCAUCGGAAACUGUUUUCUUGAGUGCAGAAGAGGAGAGUAGAACUCCAUGUGUAGCGGUGGAAUGCGUAGAUAUAUGGAAGAAUACCAGUGGCGAAGGCGGCUCUCUGGUCUGCAACUGACGCUGAGGCUCGAAAGCAUGGGUAGCGAACAGGAUUAGAUACCCUGGUAGUCCAUGCCGUAAACGAUGAGUGCUAAGUGUUGGGAGGCUUCCGCCUCCCAGUGCUGCAGCUAACGCAUUAAGCACUCCGCCUGGGGGAGUACGACCGCAAGGUUGAAAC